ACAGGGGGGGCAAGCGUUGUUCGGAAUUACUGGGCGUAAAGGGUUCGUAGGUGGCUAACUAAGUCAGACGUGAAAUCCCUCAGCUUAACUGGGGAACUGCGUCUGAAACUGGAUAGCUUGAGUGCAGGAGAGGAACGCGGAAUUCCAGGUGUAGCGGUGAAAUGCGUAGAUAUCUGGAGGAACACCGGUGGCGAAGGCGGCGUUCUGGACUGCAACUGACACUGAGGAACGAAAGCCAGGGGAGCAAACGGGAUUAGAUACCCCGGUAGUCCUGGCCCUAAACGAUGAAUGCUUGGUGUGGCGGGUAUCGAUCCCUGCCGUGCCGAAGUUAACGCGAUAAGCAUUCCGCCUGGGGAGUACGGUCGCAAGGCUG
rnacentral:rRNA from 1 species